GAAAAAACCAGUAAUAUCCCUUCCAUCCACGUAUGUGAAGGGAACACCCAAAACGUAGUUUGCUGCAAAUCCAUUUAUCAUGUUUUUAUUGUUAUUAUUACUCUCUUUUCUUAUCCUCUCAUUUCUCAAAUGGAUGAGCUGCAGUCAUGAACGCUGUUCUUUUACAAUCCCCACUUUCACCCUUCCAACGCGCCGCCACCACCAACGCUGAACCCCGCGACCAGAAGCUUCUCUCGCUCUUACGCGACCGAAAAACGGAAGAAGCCUGGCACGCCUAUGCCCACUCGACGCACCUCCCCAACCCCACCUGUCUCAGUCGCUUGGUCUGUCAGUUAUCUUACCAGAACACUCUCUCCUCUCUCACGCGCGCCCAGUCUAUCGUCACGCGCCUCCGCAAUGAGCGCCAGCUCCACCGCCUCGAUGCCAACUGCCUUGGCCUCCUCGCCGUCGCCGCCACCAAGGCCGGGCACACGCUCUACGCCGCCUCCGUGCUCCGCUCCAUGAUCCGUUCCGGCUACCUCCCUCACGUCAAGGCCUGGACCGCCGUCGUUGCCCGCCUUUCCUCCGCCCCUGAUGACGGCCCCGUCGAGGCCCUCAAGCUCUUCCGCUCCGUCACGCGCCGCCUCCGGAAGCUCCCAGACAAAGACAUGGCUGCCGCGUCGCGCCCUGACACGACGGCUAUCAACGCCGUGCUCAACGCAUGCGCGAACCUCGGCGAUGCGAAGGCGUUCUUGCAGGUGUUCGAUGAAAUGCCACAGUUCGAUGUUUCGCCUGAUGCGCUGAGUUAUAAUACUAUGAUGAAGCUGUGUUGCAAGAUUGGUAGAAAGGACUUGCUUUUGUUUGUUUUGGAGAGGGUUCUUCAGCUGGGGAUUCCUUUUUGUGUGACCUCUUUGCAGUCCCUCGUUUCUGCUUAUGUUGAGUUUGGUGAUUUGGAAACUGCGGAGAAGUUGGUUCAGGCAAUGAGGGAACAGAGGAGAGAUAUUUGUCGGGUGCUUAGGGAGUGUAGUAAUUUAGAGUAUUUGAGUGGAAAUGAAAGUGAUUACGAUAAUAGUAAUAAUGAUGAGGAUGAGGAUUGUGUUUUUGAGAAAUUGCUUCCAAAUUUGGUGGAUCAGAGUGGCCAUGAAGCUGAGCCACCCUUGUUGCCUAAAGGGUAUGCUCCAAACACUAGGACUUACACCACUCUAAUGAAGGGUUAUAUGAAUGCAGGGCGUGUGAGUGACACGGUGAGGAUGCUUGAGGCUAUGCGGCGACAGGAUGAUAAGGGUAGUCACCCUGACCACGUUUCCUACACCACUGUGGUUUCAGCUCUUGUGAAGGUAGGUUCCAUGGACCGUGCUCGUGAGGUUCUUGCUGAGAUGACAAGGAUUGGUGUGCCGGCGAACUUGAUAACUUACAAUAUUCUCCUCAAGGGUUACUGCAAACAGCUGCAGAUUAAUAAGGCAAAGGAAUUGCUUAAGGAGAUGGUUGAUGAUGCAGGGAUUCAGCCUGAUGUGGUGUCCUAUAAUAUUCUCAUCGAUGGGUGUAUACUGGUGGAUGACAGUGCUGGGGCUCUUUCCUUCUUCAAUGAGAUGAGGGCAAGGGGAAUAGCUCCCACCAAGAUUAGUUACACUACUUUGAUGAAGGCGUUUGCGUACUCGGGUCAGCCGAAGCUCGCUCACAAGGUGUUUAAUGAGAUGGACAAUGACCCUCGGGUGAAGGUGGAUUUGAUCGCGUGGAACAUGCUGGUGGAAGGUUAUUGCAGGUUGGGGUUGGUGGAAGAGGCGAAGAAAGUGGUUCAGAAGAUGAAGGAGAAUGGAGUUCACCCUGAUUCGAGCACUUAUGGCAGUUUAGCCAAUGGAAUUGCACUGGCAAGGAAACCCGGAGAGGCUCUUCUGCUUUGGAAUGAAGUGAAGGAGAGGUGUGAGAUGAGAAAGGAAGGGGAGAAGUCUGAUUCUUCUGUUCCUCCAUUGAAGCCAGAUGGAGGGCUUUUGGAUACUCUGGCUGAUAUCUGUGUGAGGGCUGCUUUCUUUAGGAAGGCUUUGGAAAUCGUGGCUUGUAUGGAGGAGAAUGGGAUAGCUCCCAACAAGACCAAGUUUACUAGAAUCUAUGUGGAAAUGCAUUCAAGAAUGUUUACUAGUAAGCAUGCUUCAAGGGCUAGACAAGACAGAAGAAUUGAGAGGAAAAGAGCUGCUGAGGCGUUUAAGUUUUGGCUGGGUUUGCCUAAUUCCUAUUAUGAUGGAAGUGAGUGGCGGUUAGAACCUAUGGAAGGGUUUUCUCACCACUCAUUCUCAGCAUAAGUUCCAAAAUUUUAAAGUCGGUUGACUCCACUGCCAUAUCUCCCUGAAGCACAGGACCGGAGUUCGAAACACAUGUUUGGCACAGGAUGUGAGUCUCAUGGCCUAUAUCAUCUCAGCCCUUCUCCACAUGCUGGCGUAAUCAUGGAGUCACCAUCCCUUCUUCAUGCUCAGUUAGGUCAUCCCAGUCUUGCCAAACUGCAGCAACUUGUUCCGAGUCUGUCCAAAUUAUCAAGUUUGUCGUGUGAGUCUUGUCAGUUAGGUAAACAUACUCGUAGUUCCUUUCCUCGUAGUGUUUCACAACGAGCGUCAUCCCCCUUUUCAUUGGUUCAUUAUGAUAUUUGGGGAUCUAGUCGUGUUAAGUCAACUUUAGGAUUUCAGUAUUUUGUUACCUUUAUUGAUGACUAUUCCAGAUGUACUUGGUUGUUUCUCAUGAAGAAUCGUUCUGAGUUGUUUUCUAUUUUUCAAACCUUUUUCAAUGAAAUAAAAACUCAGUUUGGGGUUUCUAUUCGCACUUUACG